rnacentral:lncRNA from 1 species
AUGGCCAGUGCUUAUCAUUGGGAAGCUCGGAGAAGACAGAUGGCUCUAGACAGGAGAAGACACUAUCAACUUCAACAGGAACUGAAGAAUAAAGCGAUUGACAGUGAUCUGGAAGAACAAAGAUAUUGCAUGGGACUUGAACCCUAUCAGAGAUAUCACUCUCCAAGCCCGGAAGCCCGUUACCCAUAUGGCAACCUGAGCCCUGAGCCCUCUCACCGGAACUCUGGCCUGUACGCCCCCGACGAUACUCCGGAAGACCUGCGGGGCAACUACAUCUUUCCUGAACACCGGGGGGUAAGCCAGUGCCUGUGCCAAUGCCAAUGCCAGUGUCACUACCAAGGCCAAGGCAGCCACUAUCAGAGGGCCUACGACCAGGAUGACGAGGAAGAUCAGGAGCAGGGCCAGAGCAAGCGGGAGAGGGGUCGGGACCGGGGCCGGGAGGACCGAGACCUAUGCAAGAGCCAUCGACCCAGCAAGAGCCAGGUCCGGAAUCGGGAACAGGGCCAUUAUCAAAAUGGGAAAGGUAGUCACCACCACAAAUCUCACCUCGGAGGUCAUCACAGUCACCAACAAGCGGCCACUCCACGUCCCCAAGAAUACAAACACAGUAAGUACAGUUGGUCCCUAGAGCUGGGGGGUAGGUCGAGAGAGGCUGAGCAGGGGUGGCCCCCCCAGGGAGGCAGGAUGGGGCCUCCCAGCUCCCUUUCCUCUGGAAACAGGCCGGCUUAAGAGAAAAACUGUGGGUGGCCCCCCUUGCCUACAUUCACACCUCAAGAUUUCUCAAACACCGCUAUGCAGGCAGGGAGUUGGAGGUCAGCA